rnacentral:rRNA from 1 species
AACACAUGCAAGGUCAGGGGCAUCGGGAGUAGCAAUACUGCGGCGACCGGCGCAAGGGUGCGUAACGCGUGAGCAACAUGCCCGUAUCAGGGGGGAUAAUCCAUGGAAACGUGGUCUAAUACCCCAUAGUAAUUAUGUAAGGCAUCUUAUAUAAUUUAAAGCUUUGGUGGAUACGGAUUGGCUCGCGUGACAUUAGCUGGAUGGUAAGGUAACGGCUUACCAUGGCUACGAUGUCUAGGGGUUCUGAGAGGAAGGUCCCCCCACACUGGAACUGAGACACGGUCCAGACUCCUACGGGAGGCAGCAGUGAGGAAUAUUGGACAAUGGAUGGAAAUCUGAUCCAGCCAUGCCGCGUGCAGGGAAAAGACGGCCCUAUGGGUUGUAAACUGCUUUUGUAUGGGAGCAAUAAGGGCUACGUGUAGUCCGAUGAGAGUACCAUACGAAUAAGCACCGGCUAACUCCGUGCCAGCAGCGGC